GAUGAACGCUAGCGGCAGGCCUAAUACAUGCACGUCGAGGGGCAGCACGGUAGCAAUACUGGUGGCGACCGGCGCACGGGUGCGUAACACGUAUACAAUCUGCCUUUAACAGGGGGGAUAGCCCGGAGAAAUCCGGAUUAAUACCCCAUAACACAAGAGAUGGCAUCAUUUUUUGUUAAAAGCUACGGCGGUUAAAGAUGAGUAUGCGUCUGAUUAGCUAGUUGGAGAGGUAACGGCUCCCCAAGGCGACGAUCAGUAGGGGAUCUGAGAGGAUUAACCCCCCACACGGAUACUGAGACACGGAUCCGACUCCUACGGGAGGCAGCAGUAAGGAAUAUUGGACAAUGCCCGCAAGGGUGAUCCAGCCAUGCCGCGUGCAGGAAGACGGCCCUAUGGGUUGUAAACUGCUUUUACACCGGAGAAAACCUCCCUUCGUGAAGGGAGCUGAUAGUAUGGUGAGAAUAAGCAUCGGCUAACGUUCGUGCCAGCAGCCGCGGUAAU
rnacentral:rRNA from 1 species